AUUGAACGCUGGCGGCAGGCCUAACACAUGCAAGUCGGACGGUAGCACAGAGGAGCUUGCUCUUCGGGUGACGAGUGGCGGACGGGUGAGUAAUGUCUGGGGAUCUGCCCGAUAGAGGGGGAUAACCACUGGAAACGGUGGCUAAUACCGCAUAACGUCGCAAGACCAAAGAGGGGGACCUUCGGGCCUCUCCCUAACGGUUGAACCCAGAUGGGAUUAGCUAGUAGGCGGGGUAACGGCCCACCUAGGCGACGAUCCCUAGCUGGUCUGAGAGGAUGACCAGCCACACUGGAACUGAGACACGGUCCAGACUCCUACGGGAGGCAGCAGUGGGGAAUAUUGCACAAUGGGCGCAAGCCUGAUGCAGCCAUGCCGCGUGUAUGAAGAAGGCCUUCGGGUUGUAAAGUACUUUCAGCGGGGAGGAAGGCGAUGUGGUUAAUAACCGCGUCGAUUGACGUUACCCGCAGAAGAAGCACCGGCUGACUCCGUGCCAGCCGCCGCCGUAA
rnacentral:rRNA from 1 species